rnacentral:rRNA from 1 species
UCUACUUUAAUAUGAUAGCUGGAAGUAAGCAUUAAGAAUAUUUUAAAUAUGGAAUUUUAUACCAUUUAGAACUUAUCCAGUUUAAAAUUUUAAAUAUAUAUGAAAAUGUAAUUUAGAUAUUUUUUUAAUAUAGGUUUAUUAGGUGCCAGCAACCGCGGUCAUACCUAAUAUAUUAGCUUACUAUUUAUAGUAAUAAUUCACAUUUGAAACAUUAAAAUAUGUAGUGAAAUACUAUUUUAAAAUUAUUUCAUAAAUAUUAACGAAAAUUUAACCCACGCGUAAAACUAGGAUUAGAGACCCUACUAUUAAGGGCUUAACAACUAUUUACUAAGGAGUAAUAUCACAUCUUAAAACUUAAAUGUUAUGGCGGCUAAACAAAACAAUUAGGGGAACUUACCAUAUAAUAGAUAGUCACCAAGCUUAAACCACUUAUUUUAAUAAUUUGUAUACCGUUGUCUCCAUAAACCCCUCAAAGGGGCUUAAAUUUAUAGUAAUAUAUCAAAAGACAAAUCAAGGUGCAGUAUAUAUAUAAGAAUUAAGGUGAGUUACAGUAACAAAUAUUUUCGGAAAUAAACUAUGAAAUAAUCUAAUAAGAUGGACUUAAAAGUAUUAUUUAAAUUAAGUUAUAUUAUAAGAAUAUGUAUUGUUUAGUGUA